rnacentral:lncRNA from 1 species
CUGCUAUUUAUAAGCUGCUGGUGUAACCACUUUUCAAGGGUUUCCGCGUGCAUGGUAGUAGGCUUCCGAGGGUUAAGCGUGCGUGGAAGUGGGCUUCAACGUGGUCAGUUGAGUUCCUUGCGCCAAAAAUAUAGAGGACUGGUGUGACGUUCGUCACACCAUGUGUGACGUCCGUCACAAGGCUACUUCGCGUGACGCUCGUCACGCGUCCUGUGACGUCCGUCACAGGCACAACAUUGGUGACUUGUGCGCUUUGGGCUGGGCUUUGGCCUUUGGUUCCUUUUCUCUCCUUUUUGUUGCUUUUUACACCUCCUUUUC